AUGGUCGGGCCCAGGGUUCAGCCGCCACCGACGCCAGGUGAGAGGGGCUGCUCCUUCCUCGACCUCCCCACCGCAAGGCUCUGCGCGUCUUCUCCCUCUCUGUCUCCCUCUGUCUCCCCUCUAUCUGUCUCUCUCUCCCCGCCUUUCUCUCUGUCCUCUCUCUCCCUUUUCCUCUGUCCCUCUCCUCAGCUCUCUCCUCUCUCCCUCCUCGACUCCCUUCCUCUUACUGUCUCUGUCUCUCCUUCUCCCUAUCGCUCUCUCCAUCUCUCUCCUCCACCUUCUCCAUCUCUCCGUGUCUCUCAUCUGUCUCAUCUCUCUCUUCCUUGCACCCUUCUCUGUGUCUCUGUCUCCUUACGCCAACUUUCAGUCUCCCUCAGCAAUCCCUUUCUCUUUCUUACUCUCCCUUUUCUCCCCAUCUCUCUCUGUCUUUCCCUGGCUUGGUAUCACUGUGUCUCUGUCUUCUCUCUAUCUCUAUCUCUGUCUCUCCCCCACUUCUCUCUGUCUGUGCCUCUCCCUCACUUCUCUCUCUGUCUCUCCCCCACUUCUCUCUGCCUCUGUCUCUACCCCACUUCUCUCUGUCUCUGUCUCCCUUUUCUCUCUCCCAUUUCUGUCUGUCUUUCCCCACUUCUUUCUGCCUGUCUCUCCCCCACUUCUCUCUGCCUCUGUCUCUCCCCCACUUCUCUCUGUCUCUGUCUCUCCCCCACUUCUCUCUAUCUGUGUCUCUCCCCCACUUCUAUCUCUGCCUCUCCCCCACUUCUCUCUAUCUCUGUCUGUCUCCCACUUUUCUGUCUCUCCCAUUUCUGUCUGUCUUCCCCCAUUUCUGUCUCUGUCUUCCCCCACUUCUCUCUGCCUCUGUCUCUCCCCCACUUCUCUCUGCCUCUGUCUCUCCCCCACUUCUCUCUGCCUCUGUCUCUCCCCCACUUCUCUCUGCCUCUGUCUCUCCCCCACUUCUCUCUGCCUCUGUCUCUCCCCCACUUCUCUCUGCCUCUGCCUCUCCCCCCACUUCUCUCUGUCUCUGCCUCUCCCACACUUCUCUCUGCCUCUGUCUCUCCCCCACUUCUCUCUGCCUCUGCCUCUCCCCCACUUCUCUCUGCCUCUGCCUCUCCCCCACUUCUCUCUGCCUCUGUCUCUCCCCCACUUCUCUCUGCCUCUGUCUCUCCCCCACUUCUCUCUGCCUCUGUCUCUCCCCACUUCUCUCUGCCUCUCCCCCACUUCUCUCUAUCUCUCCUCCACUUCUCUCUCUCUCCCCCACUUCUCUGUCUCUCCCCCACUUCUACCUCUCCCCCACUUCUCUCUGUCUCUCCCCCACUUCUCUGUCUCUCCCCCACUUCUGUCUCUCCCCCACUUCUAUCUGUACCUCUCCCCCACUUCUCUGUCUCUCCCCCACUUCUCUCUGUCUCUGUCUCUCCCCCACUUCUAUAUCUGCCUCUCCCCCACUUCUAUCUGUCUCUCCCCCACUUCUCUCUCUCUCCCCCACUUCUCUCUAUCUCUGCCUCUCCCCCACUUCUCCCUAUCUCUGCCUCUCUCCCACUUCUCUGUCUCUCCCCCACUUCUGUCUCUGCCUCUCCCCCACUUCUCUCUGUGUCUCUCCCCCACUUCUCUCUGUGUCUCUCCCCCACUUCUCUCUAUCUCUGUCUCUCCCCCACUCCUCUCUGUGUCUCUCCCCCACUUCUCUCUGCCUCUCUUCCACUUCUAUCUGUGUCUCUCCCCCACUUCUCUCUGUCUCUGUCUCUCCCCCACUUCUAUCUCUGUCUCUGUCUCUCCCCCACUUCUAUCUCUACCUCUCCCCACUUCUCUAUGUCUCUCCCCCACUUCUCUCUGUCUCUCCCCCACUUCUCUCUGUCUCUGUCCCCCACUUCUAUCUCUGUCUCUACCCCACUUCUCUGUCUCUCCCCAUUUCUCUGUCUCUCCCCCAUUUCUCUGUCUCUGCCUCUCCCCCAUUUCUCUGUCUCUGCCUCUCCCCCAUUUCUCUGUCUCUGCCUCUCCCAUUUCUCUGUCUCUGCCUCUCCCCCAUUUCUCUGUCUCUGUCUCUCCCCCCAUUUCUCUGUCUGUGCCUCUCCCCCCUUAUUUCUCUGUCUCUGCCUCUCCCCCCAUUUCUCUGUCUCUGCCUCUCCCCCAUUCUCUGUCUCUGUCUCUCCCCCAUUUCUCUGUCCUCUGCCUCUCCCCCCAUUUCUGUCUCUGCCUCUCCCCCCAUUUCUCUGUCUCUGCCUCUCCCCCCAUUUCUCUGUCUCUUCCUCUCCCAUUUCUGUCUCUGCCUCUCCCCCAUUUCUCUGUCUCUGCCUCUCCCCCAUUUCUGUCUCUCCCCCCAUUUCUCUGUCCUCUGUCUCUCCCCCCAUUUCUCUGUCUCUGCCUCUCCCCCAUUUCUCUGUCUCUGUCUCUCCCCCAUUUCUCUCUCUGUCUCUCCCCCCAUUUCUGUCUCUGUCUCUCCCCCAUUUCUCUGUCUCUGCCUCUCCCCCAUUUCUCUGUCUCUGCCUCUCCCCCCAUUUCUGUCUCUGUCUCUCCCCCCAUUCUCUGUCUCUGCCUCUCCCCCACUUCUCUGUCUCUGCCUCUCCCCCCAUUUCUGUCUGUCCCCCACUUCUCUCUGCCUGUCUCCCCCAUUUCUCUGUCUCUGUCUCUCCCCCCAUUUCUGUCUCUGCCUCUCCCCCACUUCUCUGUCUCUGCCUCUCCCCCCAUUUCUGUCUCUGUCUCUCCCCCACUUCUCUCUGCCUCUGUCCCCCAUUUCUCUGUCUCUGUCUCUCCCCCUAUUUCUCUGCCUCUGUCUCUCCCCCACUUCUCUCUGCCUCUGUCUGUCUCUCCUGUCUCUCUCUGAGUCCUCCUCUCUCCCCAGCUCUCCAGAUGAAGUCCUCCUGGGCCUCUGCGGUCCCUGCUGAAUAA
ensembl:lncRNA